rnacentral:lncRNA from 1 species
GUGGUGAUGAACAUUUCAUCGCACUGUCAGUAGUAGAUAUCAUUGCAUUCUACCAUUUGUCUGUCUGCAAUAUAGACAAGAUUUUGUCAUAUGACUGUGAUGUCAUAGACUUAUGUUUCGUGAUCUAUUAUACUCCUUGAACAUGGAAAUAAGAUGAAUUUAAAGGAACGACUGUUAUAUUUUUUCUGUGUAUUCGAAAAAAUGUUCUGCACAC